UGACGACCAUAUCACAUUGAAACACCAGUUCCCAUACGAUCAUCGAAGUUAAGCAACGUCGAGCAUGGUCAGAAACUAGAUAGGUGACCGUUUGGGAAUACUAGGUAGUGUAA